UUAUAUGGUCAAGAAGAGAAGCGCAAACGGUGGAUGCCUUGGCAGUAAGAGGCGAAGAAGGACGUGGAAUCCUGCGAAAAGCUAUGGGGAGCUGGAAACGAGCGUUGAGCCAUAGAUGUCCGAAUGGGGGAACCCGGCUGCAGCGAUGCGGUCAUUUGCAUUUGAAUACAUAGGAUGCAAAGGCGAACUCGGGGAACUGAAACAUCUAAGUACCCGAAGGAAAAGAAAUCAAGAGAGAUUCUCCAAGUAGCGGCGAGCGAACGGGGAGGAGCCUGGCGUGAUUUAUUAUUGAACUGAGUAGAACAAUUUGGGAAAGUUGGCGAUAGAGGGUGAAAGCCCCGUAUACGAAGGUUUGAUGAGGAACUAGGCACGCGAACAAGUAGGCCGGGACACGUGAAAUCCUGGUUGAAGAUGGGUGGACCAUCAUCCAAGGCUAAAUACUACUUACUGACCGAUAGUGAACCAGUACCGUGAGGGAAAGGUGAAAAGAACCCCGGAGAGGGGAGUGAAAUAGAAUCUGAAACCGUUUGCGUACAAGCAGUGGGAGCAUGGUUUAGGCUGUGUGACUGCGUACCUUUUGUAUAAUGGGUCAGCGAGUUACUUUCAGUGGCGAGGUUAACUGCAUAAGGGAGCCGUAGAGAAAUCGAGUCUGAAUAGGGCGAUAGUCGCUGGGAGUAGACCCGAAACCGGGCGAUCUAGCCAUGUGCAGGAUGAAGGUUGGGUAACACCAACUGGAGGUCCGAACCGGGUAAUGUUGAAAAAUUAUCGGAUGACGUGUGGCUAGGAGUGAAAGGCUAAUCAAGCCCGGAGAUAGCUGGUUCUCCCCGAAAGCUAUUUAGGUAGCGCCUCGUGAAUGAUUACUGGGGGUAGAGCACUGUUUCGGCUAGGGGGCUGUCAUGGCUUACCAAACCGAUGCAAACUCCGAAUACCGGCUAAUUGAAUCACGGGAGACACACGGCGGGUGCUAACGUCCGUCGUGGAGAGGGAAACAACCCAGACCGCCAGCUAAGGUCCCCAAGUACUAGUUAAGUGGGAAACGAUGUGGGAAGGCAUAGACAGCCAGGAGGUUGGCUUAGAAGCAGCCACCCUUUAAAGAAAGCGUAAUAGCUCACUGGUCGAGUCGGCCUGCGCGGAAGAUGUAACGGGGCUAAAACUAGUCACCGAAGCUGCGGAUGUGCGCGAAGGCGCACGUGGUAGGGGAGCGUUCUGUAGGCUGAUGAAGGUGCAUUGAGAAGUGUGCUGGAGGUAUCAGAAGUGCGAAUGCUGACAUGAGUAACGAUAAUGUGGGUGAAAAGCCCACACGCCGGAAGUCCCAGGUUUCCUGCACGACGUUAAUCGGAGCAGGGUGAGUCGGCCCCUAAGGCGAGGCUGAAGAGCGUAGUCGAUGGGAACCAGGUUAAUAUUCCUGGACUUUUUAUAAGUGGUGAAGUGGGGACGAAGAAGGCUAGGUGAGCCAGGCGUUGGUUGUCCUGGUACUUGCAUGUAGGGGGGAAGACUUGGCAAAUCCGGUUUUCCAUAACUCUGAGGUGCGAAGUGGUUCUGACCUUUUGGUACAGAGAAGUCAUUGAUGCCCGGCUUCCAGGAAAAGCUGCUAGCCAUAACUUAUAGAGAACCGUACCGCAAACCGACACAGGUGGACAGGUAGAGAAUACUAAGGCGCUUGAGAGAACUCGGGUGAAGGAACUAGGCAAAAUGGUACCGUAACUUCGGGAGAAGGUACGCCCUUUCUGGUGAUGGGAUUUACUUUCAGAGCUGGAGAGGGCCGCAGAGACCAGGUGGCUGCGACUGUUUAUUAAAAACACAGCACUCUGCAAAUUCGUAAGAAGACGUAUAGGGUGUGACGCCUGCCCGGUGCCGGAAGGUUAAUUGAUGGGGUUAUCUUCGGAGAAGCUCUUGAUCGAAGCCCCGGUAAACGGCGGCCGUAACUAUAACGGUCCUAAGGUAGCGAAAUUCCUUGUCGGGUAAGUUCCGACCUGCACGAAUGGCGUAACGAUGGCCACACUGUCUCCACCCGAGACUCAGUGAAAUUGAAAUCGCUGUGAAGAUGCAGUGUACCCGCGGCUAGACGGAAAGACCCCGUGAACCUUUACUAUAGUUUUGCACUGGACUUUGAUGAUGACUGUGUAGGAUAGGUGGGAGGCUGUGAAGUGAG
rnacentral:rRNA from 1 species